UAUCUCUGUAGAGUCUGCAUAUCAAUAAGCGGAGGAAAAGAAACUAACAAGGAUUCCCUUAGUAACGGCGAGUGAAGCGGGAAGAGCUCAAAUUUGAAAUCUUCAAGGUUUACCUUGACGAAUUGUAGUUUAAAGAAGUGUUUUCUGUUAGAUGAGUUCGGUAAAAGUUCUUGGAAUAGGGACAUCAUAGAGGGUGAGAAUCCCGUAUUUGACCGUUAUUAUUCUAGCUGUGUGAUACACUUUCAAAGAGUCGGAUUGUUUGGGAAUGCAGUCCAAAAUGGGUGGUAAAUUUCAUCUAAAGCUAAAUAUUGGCGAGAGACCGAUAGCGAACAAGUACCGUGAGGGAAAGAUGAAAAGAACUUUGAAAAGAGAGUUAAACAGUACGUGAAAUUGUCAAAAGGGAAGCGUUUGACACCAGUGUUGUUUUCUCGAAAAUCAAUUAAAAAUGGCUUGAUUUUGUGUCGUAUUGACCUUAAAAGCUUUCUUCACCUUUUUCAUGUCUUUUUUAAUGCACUCUUUCGUUUAACAAGUCAACAUCAGUUUCUUUUGUUGUAAAGAGGUCAUUGGAAGGUGGCUUUCUUUUCGGAGAAAGUGUUUAUAGCCUUUGACUCCUGCAAUCGGAGAGACUGAGGUCUGCAGCGUAGAUCCUUCUGGAUUAGAUUCAUUUGUGCUAAGUUACAACCGUUUAUAGACAACUUGUUGACUAUAUUCGAUCCUGUAGCUUACUCGCUUAUGUAAUUUUACCUACGCUUAGGAUGUUGACUGAUAUGUAGUCGUA
rnacentral:rRNA from 1 species